ACACGCAGAGCCUGCUGGGAAAAUUGUGCUGGGUUCUGGGAGAGAGAAGCGUGCGGCGAGUCACGCAGGCUGAGCCAGUCACGUGGGCUCCUGGGGAGCCCAACGGUCAUAACGGCCCAAACACCCGAAAGAGCUCUGUUUGCAGUGUCACCACAGAAUAUACUGCCUGAACGCAUUCUCUUGUCAUAAAUACAAGAAGUCUCAAACCCAGGACUCUUUUCUCCUGUCAUCUACAUGAGGGAAGGUUUAAGCCAUAAAACUGAGGUUUCCGAGUUUACCUGGGAAUUCUUAUGGAAGAGCUUCAGCAGAUGCUACACCUGGAUUGCCUGUCUACUGGAUUAUAAUCUUUUAAACUGAUUCCAGAAAGACUUUUACAAAUAAGCAGCCUUACCUUCUCUGCUAUGAAACUGACCUAAGGACUUUACACAUAUUUUUUCUCCAGAGAGACAGCACCACUUUCUGAUGAUUCAAGCACCUGCUUGGCUGCUGGAGUGAGCCACCAACAUCACAGUGUGUGAUCU